GGAUGACACUCUGAUCUUUUGAGUUUAAUCUUUUUUGAAUCUUUUUGAAUCAUUUCUAAUCUUUCCGAAUCAUGCAUAUCAAAAAGGAAAGAAAUUUUUGAUUCAGUGUCUGAAGAACACCUGUCAAACCGAACCUCGUUCGCGCGCACGAAAUAAACAAGUGAAAACAAAACACCAAAGAGCAGCGGUGAACAUUGCUUAAAUUGUUAAUAUUCUUGGCUGACAUGCCGGAGUGUUCCAACUGGAAAUUCCAGCUUGACGUGCCGUAGACAGCCACCUUUCUGAGCGUUCGUCAGUCAUCGAUUUGCUGCCAGCUAGAAUUUUCCUCGACCCAUACCUACUUCAUUUUCGAAGGUGCUCCACAACUAGCCUCUGGGUCUAUUCUGCUGCGAAGUUCUGAUGGAUUCGUACAGUAAAUUACCGUUCUCGUUGUGAAAACGAUUCUACUAGUAAGGCGAAAAACAUUAGGUUGGUGUCGACGGUCUGCCACGAUAUGUCAGCGUAUUUUUCGUGUAAAGCUGCCGCGAAAAGAACAAGCUCCGGAAUUAGCGUUUUGAUUUGGAGACGCAGAAGUAGGUACACAGGAGAUGGAGAAACAGCUGACCAGGGAAUCGAACGUAGUUUGCGACGAAAACGGCACUUCUGCUAAUCAUGGAGCAGCUUCUUCACCGGUCUCAUUUAUCAAAUGCUUUGUAAUAUUUCUUUCUGUUUUUAUGUAAUAUUAAUAAAAAAAAUGCGGUGGGUGGGGGUGA